GGAGUCGAUUUAGCACAUGCUAGUCGCACGGGUUCAGACCCGUGGCGAAUAGCUCCGUAACACGUGGCCAAACUACCCUAUGGAUCGGGACAACCUCGGGAAACUGAGGCUAAUCCCGAAUACCGCUCCCAUCCUGGAACUGGAGGGAGCACGAAACGCUCCGGCGCCAUAGGAUGUGGCUGCGGCCGAUUAGGUAGACGGUGGGGUAACGGCCCACCGUGCCGAUAAUCGGUACGGGUUGUGAGAGCAAGAGCCCGGAGACGGUAUCUGAGACAAGAUACCGGGCCCUACGGGGCGCAGCAGGCGCGAAACCUUUACACUGCACGAACGUGCGAUAAGGGGACUCCGAGUGCGAGGGCAUACAGUCCUCGCUUUUCUGUACCGUAAGGUGGUACAGGAAUA
rnacentral:rRNA from 1 species